GUUGGCCAGCAGACAGGAGAUCUGGACCUGUGACAGCGUGACGGCCGCAGUGCGCCCGGCGCUCAGUAGAGGGAUGGCCUGUAAAUACACGGCUCCUCAGCACCAGAACCACUUUACAACCCGAGCCCAGACAGGAUGAAGGACGAGGACCAUGAUGAUGAUGAUGAUGAUGAUGAUGGCUUGAUGUGAGCGACACACACUGACCUUGACGAAGCUGGCGAGGCUGUCAAACAGCCACUGCUUCUCGUACUUCGGGUUGUAUUUCAUGAUGGCUUUCUGAAAAAGACAUGGACUGAGAGCGUGAACGGGGACGAUCAGAGAUGUGAACAGCUGCUGCUGUACCUGCACGUCAGCCACGUCUGCCUCGCUCCGGCUGGACAGAGCUCCCAGGUGUUUGGAGAUCACCUUCCACCUCUCCACCGGGCCACUUCCCUGCCAGCACACAGAUCGGACUCAGAGUCACGUGACCGGAACCGGGUUGGAUCAGACGACAGUAACAAAAGUAAAGAACGCAGUGAUUUACACAUUUAAGGAUGCUGGUGAACUAGCAUCCAUCAUGGGGAACACCUCCACCCCUGCACCACACGGAGGCUCUGAGCAGCUCCUUCAGCACCACUGUUACAGCCACAGUGCAGGAAGGAGCUGCUGCAGGUCAUUGCUCCCACAGACAUCACACUCUACAACACAGCACUGCAGUGACACAAAAUUGUCAAACUCCAUUGUUGUGUAGCAUUUCAGGUCUUCAUCAUCCACAUGACAGUCUUUCUUUCUGCCACAGUAAAUACGUAGGGCACAUUUUUUACACUGCUGAAGAAAUCAGUUACUAGAAGCAUGUUUAUGGCAAAUUGUCAUUGUUGUUUGUCUUUUCUCUGCACUAAUAAUAAUGUUGCACAGUGUUGCAGUCAUUGUCGUUGUUUUCCGUCUGUCUCUCUACUGUUACACUGCUGCUGAAACAGGAACUUCCUCAUUGUGGGAUCAAUAAACUGGCUGCAGAUCAGUGAAGCCCGUUUAGUGGGAUUCAUUUGACUGAACUGGGUUGUUUGAACGCACCGUCCAUCCAGACUUAACCAUCGAACUUGACGGUGAACAUGGCAUCUUCACCACGUUGCUGCUCCACACGUCUCUGCCGUCCUGAGCCACGAAGCGCUGCGGGACGAGUCGCACGUCAACGAGGACGGUGUGCGCGCGGCCGAAGCGCAGCUCUCCCAGCGGGGGGCGGCACUGCGGGAGCCGCUUCAGAUCCUGCAGGGGGCAGCACGCGCCCGCCUCCUCCCUCGGCCGCUCGCGGCCCUCGACCCGUCGACGCCGCACGGCGGCGGUGCAGGAGGCUCCACAGGUGGAGGAGCAGCUGUGGCCGCAGCCGGAGUCCUCCGUCUUAACGGGCUCCACUUCCGCUCUGGAUGCGCCGUCAUUUCUGGGUUUGACGUUUUCUGGCUCCUCGUCUGGACAAAGGCAGGCCUUCACCUGGGAGCUGUCGUUUGAUUUGCUAGCCAUCACUGUGGGUUGUAGAAGGAGUUGCGGCCACGCCCACUUUGGUGACGUACGUGGUACAGUCACCGCGUCGGAGCCUGAGGUUGCGUUCAAACUAAAUGAAUUGUUUCUGACUGUCUGUUCAGUUUAAAUCUUAUUUUACUGAGCGGAUCGUUCGAGUUCUUGUCAGUGAUUUUAACGUAUUCUGAGCGACGGAACCUUUAAAGCUCGGCUCUGGAUACGUACCGACAGUUUCCUGUGGGUUUGUCAGAACCGAAACUACGCCAACACUCGUUCCAGACUAGAGACAGCGCUUGUACAACAUUAUGUGUACAAUAAUUUUCGGAACCGUUAUCUCACCUUCGAUUAGCACGACGAGCCAGCAGGAAUCCUGACGACCGGGCCGGAACCAGCAGACGAGCUGCGGUUUCAGGCUGAAGAGAAAACGAAAGUAGCGGCUGAUCGCGGCUCCACUUUCACUAUGACAAACAACGUGGCCGCGCACGGAAUUAACAUUCAACUAGUUAAUCAAGAACCGACCCGGACUUCAGCAAACACGUUCAAGCUGGUACUUUUACUUCACUUGAGUGUUCAAUAGGCCCCAGCGUUCAGGACAAAUCAAACGAGCCAUUAAAGCCUAUUCAAUUCUUUUCAGGUAAACAUUCCACACUUGAAACAAAUGUGGUUGUGGCGGGGCCUAAAUUGUUCAAGGUUAAACUGGACUCCAGUAUAAUCGUCAGACAGCUAUAGUUACUAUCCCACUAUGAAUGAUCUAUUACUCUGGAUGUUCUGACCCAGUUCGGACCCGGUCUGACCCGUCAGCCAUCAGCCUUGUCUGGGCCAGAAUCUCACCAGACCUGCAACCAGCUGCUGCCUCCUCUGUUUGUAGCUUUUAUGGAUGUAAACAAAUAAAGCAAAACUUAAAAAGCU